rnacentral:rRNA from 1 species
UGGGGAAUUUUGGACAAUGGGCGCAAGCCUGAUCCAGCAAUGCCGCGUGAGUGAAGAAGGCCUUCGGGUUGUAAAGCUCUUUUGUCAGGGAAGAAACGGUGAGGGCUAAUAUCCUUUGCUAAUGACGGUACCUGAAGAAUAAGCACCGGCUAACUACGUGCCAGCAGCCGCGGUAAUACGUAGGGUGCAAGCGUUAAUCGGAAUUACUGGGCGUAAAGCGUGCGCAGGCGGUUAUGUAAGUCAGAUGUGAAAUCCCCGGGCUCAACCUGGGAAUGGCAUUUGAGACUGCAUGGCUAGAGUGUGUCAGAGGGGGGUAGAAUUCCACGUGUAGCAGUGAAAUGCGUAGAGAUGUGGAGGAAUACCGAUGGCGAAGGCAGCCCCCUGGGAUAACACUGACGCUCAUGCACGAAAGCGUGGGGAGCAAACAGG